rnacentral:rRNA from 1 species
GACGAACGCUGGCGGCGUGCUUAACACAUGCCAGUCGAACGGAAAGGCCCUGCUUUUGUGGGGUGCUCGAGUGGCGAACGGGUGAGUAACACGUGAGUAACCUGCCCUUGACUUUGGGAUAACUUCAGGAAACUGGGGCUAAUACCGGAUAGGAGCUCCUGCUGCAUGGUGGGGGUUGGAAAGUUUCGGCGGUUGGGGAUGGACUCGCGGCUUAUCAGCUUGUUGGUGGGGUAGUGGCUUACCAAGGCUUUGACGGGUAGCCGGCCUGAGAGGGUGACCGGCCACAUUGGGACUGAGAUACGGCCCAGACUCCUACGGGAGGCAGCAGUGGGGAAUAUUGCACAAUGGGCGGAAGCCUGAUGCAGCAACGCCGCGUGCGGGAGGACGGCCUUCGGGUUGUAAACCGCUUUCGCCUGUGACGAAGCGUGAGUGACGGGAAUGGGUAAAGAAGCACCGGCUAACUACGU